rnacentral:lncRNA from 1 species
GAAACUUUUACCUCUCGAUAUGCUCACGUUGGUCUACAGAUUGUAGCUACCAUGAUGCCUGAUGAAUAUAGGUGAAAAAAGAUUUGGAUACUAUUAUAGAUACAAUUGUUGAAUGAGGAAAUAAGGCAAUUGCGACAAGUGAAAGAAACAAAAAGAUUAGAGAAAGAAAAAGAAAGAGCAGAGAAACUCAAAAUGAUGGAGCAAUUUAAGGAAAAUUGGAUUGCAAAUGCCGAAAUGAAAGAACGAGUUCAAUUCACAAGUAGACAUUCAAAUUGAUGAAUGUGAUGUGUUUACUUGGAAGGGAUCAUUUUAAUAUUUCGUCUUAUAAUGAUUUCAGGACAAGAAACAAUAUAAAGCAUGGGGAACAAUACUAGGCUAAAGAGAUAACUUUGUUGUGCAUUAAAAAAAGAAGAGGUAAUACGGUUUUGGUUGCAAGUAUGAAUUGAAGACGUUGGUAUUGGGUUGCAAGUAUGAU